GAUGAACGCUGGCGGCGUGCCUAAUACAUGCAAGUCGAGCGAAUGGAUUAAGAGCUUGCUCUUAUGAAGUUAGCGGCGGACGGGUGAGUAACACGUGGGUAGCCUGCCCAUAAGACUGGGAUAACUCCGGGAAACCGGGGCUAAUACCGGAUAACAUUUUGAACCGCAUGGUUCGAAAUUGAAAGGCGGCUUCGGCUGUCACUUAUGGAUGGACCCGCGUCGCAUUAGCUAGUUGGUGAGGUAACGGCUCACCAAGGCAACGAUGCGUAGCCGACCUGAGAGGGUGAUCGGCCACACUGGGACUGAGACACGGCCCAGACUCCUACGGGAGGCAGCAGUAGGGAAUCUUCCGCGAUGGACGAAAGUCUGACGGAGCAACGCCGCGUGAGUGAUGAAGGCCUUCGGGUCGUAAGGCCCUGUCGGGGGGGAAGAAACUCCCGCCGGUGAACAAUCGGCGGGAUUGACGGUACCCCCUAAGGAAGCACCGGCUAACUCCGUGCCAGCCGCCGCAGUAA
rnacentral:rRNA from 1 species